UUUCUACACCAUUCCGGGAUGCUGGUGUCCACCACUGCUGCCUGGGCACGGGGAACAGAGAAUCUGCCUGGUGGGAGCAGACAAGAGGUUCGAGGACCAGAGCUCAUCCUCUUCGACCAAACCAAUGCACAACUCCUACGUACUGAUGGUGGUCUUACGUUUCCCUAAGUUUCUGCCGACUAAACUGUGCACACGUUCUCAGGACCUCCUGAAGCUGCGUCACAGGCGCUGAUCAAAG
rnacentral:lncRNA from 10 species